UUUCUGUGGAGGGGAAAUGGUCACACAAGGUCCUGAAUACCAGGAGGCAGGGACCUUGGGGCCAUCUUAGGGGCUGCCCUCCACACUGAGGGGUGCUGUCCUGUAGACCUGGGUUCCCCAACCCUUUCAGGGUUCCAGGCUGUGUGCUUCACCCCAGGCUGAGGACUCCCGAAGCCAGAACCAUCAGCUCACAGAGGGGUGAGUCUCCUGGGGAACCCUACACUCACUCUUGUUGCCUCACAAAGUGACCAAGAACCCAGCCCUUUCUCCUGUCUCCUUCCACAGUCCUGCCCCUACUCAUGCUUCUGGCUCCUUUUAAGCCCUCACUCAGUUGCACACACGGUUGUCCCACGAUCUCACUGGUACAGGGCUUAGGGGAGGCCACCUUGAACUCAGAGUCUGGACACUGGCUAGUGGGGAAUAGGAAGACUGGCAGCCAUGGUCCCUCCCUAUUCCUGAGUCCAUGGGCCACCUGAGGUGUACCUGAGGCAGCCCCUGGAUUCCUGCAGGGGACAGGCACCAGGCCCAUCAUCUGCCUCGGAUCUGGAUGAAGCCAGGAGUGACACAGACCCAACGAAAGAGGGCCCUGGCACACCUGAAAAGGCCACACCUGGUUGCUUACAGGAGAUGAACUCUAUCACCAGCAGGCACUUUGAGGAGCCAGGAAAUUUAGCAUUUGAGGACCUGCCCCAGAGGGAAGAAAGGAGCCAAGCAGAGCCUACCAUCCAACAACUCCACUCACCAACACUCAGGAGCCCACAGGAGGGAAAGCUCAGUCAGGAAGCCCUAGGGCCCUCUGGCCUGGCUUCCCAAGGCCUGCUAGCCCUCCAAGAUCUACCCAAGGGGUUCGGCUUGGGCCUGGACAGAGAGAGAUCAGAACCUCAAAAACUGCUGCUGCUGGACCCUCUUCAGAGGCUGAGAGAGGUGGUCCCUGGGGGUCAGAAGGGCGAGUCUCUCCCAGUCAGGAAGAAAAACCACAACAGAGUAAGAGCAGGGAGGACCCUCAGGGGCAGAGAGAAGAGGCACCCCAGGGAGAGAACCCAGAGGCUCCUCAGAGUCAAACAGGAAAUAGUCCAAAGUGCGUCGUCGGAGAGGAGGCUCCUCAGGGUCAGGGAACGAAAGCUUGGCAGGCAUGGGAAGGCCGCAUCUCACCAGCCCGGGAGGUGGCUCAGGGAGAAGCAACUGCCCAGCCCCCGGAGGAGAGCGACCCCCUGGGCCAGGGGGAAGAAGAGAGUCCCCCGAGUGUGGAAAGGGGGAACCCAGGCCUCCGGGGAAGGACCUCCCAGAGGAUGCAGGGCAAGACCGAGGGCCAGAGUCAGGAGUCGGCCGUGACAACGCUGGGGGUCCCCCGGGAGGAGGCGUGGGCUCCUGUCCCAGGCCCAGGUUCGGGGAUACUGGCGACACAGAGCCCCGGGAACCCUGGGCAGCCCGAGCUCCCUGCGACUGUGCCGGGAGGGGGCCGUGGCCCGGCGCAGCAGGCGGUGGGCCGAGCGAGUUUCCCGGGUGCGCUAGAGGAGUGGAGGGGUGGCCCUGGGGGUCCCCCCGCCUCGAAGGCCGCUUGGCUGGCAACCCCUGGCGUGAGCACGGCGCAGCAGGAUUCGGCUCUGCGGCGGCGGCAGGACUGAGAACAGCAGCGGCUCCGGGUGCGUCCCCUUGCGGGCGGGCCAGGGGCUGCCUGCGCGGUGGGACGCCGAGACCGAGGCCGAGUACGGC